UGAUACUCUCGGCGGACAAGGAGGAAGGUGGACAGGCUUACCCUUCGCUCAGGUGGUGAACCAAGUUUCUGCAUGUGCUCGGCCAGGUUAUUUGUCUUUCACUAAAGGUGUUGGUCAUUCAUAUUCAGCGCGGUGGUGAGUAGGGGUAAUUUUGAUUCUGUUUGAGCAUGGGGUUAUUUAGGGUCUUCCUCGCGGUACGCAGCAGGGACUUCGCCAAGUCCGGCCCUCAAUCGAAAGGCUGAGCGAAUCUGCCGAGAUGAAAUGGUUCGAGCGCAAAAUCGGGCCAUUGAAUUGAAUGAGAGGGCGCCUUUACUGAGAGAAGGCGAAGGGAAGAAGCUCCACCGAGGAGUGAUACUAGAGAAAAGGUAAUUGCGAAGUUAGAAGGCGAGGAUCUCAGGCGAGCUGGAAGAACACCCAGUCUCUACGGCAAGGCAGGAUCAUCACGCGUUCAAAGAGUCGGAUGACUUUUUAGAGGGCGUGAGGGGAUCGGCAUUCCUCUUAUUUCGGUGUGACGGCUUGACUUCUGCAAGAGGAGCUAGCGCACCAGUUAAUCUGGACCUCGGCGUUGACCUGAGGACAUCGAGAUGGACUGAACUCCUUUCCAACAAGGAGGCCGAAGCGGAAGAGAAAAGAGCGGCGAAAGAAAGGGACAGCCGCGGGUAGAGGGGGUUGGCGAAGCUGUUUUUAAGGAUUCCCCCUCCUUUAUUUUUUUGUAUAAUUUUUUUUUGUAUUUUAUUGUCCGUGAUCUCAGUGGAUAAUAAAAGCUUAUUCGCUUUCCAACUCUUGUCGUUUUUCCUUAACUUAAUUACUUCGGACGUAUACGUUUAUAUUACCGGCAAGAUUCAUGGUGGAAAACGGGCGAUCCAACUUCACGCCCUAACCGAUAUAAGCUCCUGGGCAACGAGAUAUAUAUGGCGAGAUCGUCGACUGGCGAUGAAGAUUCCUUGUCGUAAUGAAUGGCGGCCUCAUUAAUGGCGACGUCCGUAAUGGUGUAUCAAAGGAUCCUCAGCCCCCGUUUUGUAAACGAAUGGCGAAUCUGGUCUUUUACCCUCUAGGCGAUAUAAGAUUGGGCGGCCAUGGUGACUUGGUAAUUCAGCUAGGAAAAACUUUUGGGCGAGCGAGGUGGGCGACGUAGGCAUCCAAUCAUAGAUGUUUCAAAUACAGAAGCACAGCGUGUUCGAAAACCAAUGCUGACGUGUUUGUGCAAUGAUGGUCCGGACGGUGGAGCGUCGACGGAUCAAUCCAAGAGCCACAUGGAUGGGAAUUAAUGCAGAAUAGGUUUAGUCGGCGGGAGAAAUGGUUUAAUGGCGGGAAUGGCGUUUUCACAUCUCAGAAAUUGGAACGUCGAGUGAUUGGGCCGUUGGGCCCGAUGACACAGCCCUCCCUAUGUGUUGGAUAUAAAUGGGGUUAAUGUUCAUUCGUACAUUUCCGUUGACAGGAGAAGGGAAUGCUCCGUUUUUAAAUUGGCAUCUCGCCAUUAAACAGAGCUUGUCCCGUUAGUUACUCCAAGACCAACCUCGGAGGCAAAGAAUCUGAGCAAUCCUGCCUCGUGGAUAUACGAUCAUUAGGGGCGAAAGUUAUAUCGACGAAACGAGCCAGUCUCGUCGUCUCCACCAAUACUAUCAAACUCCCCGGAGAUGGAUACCUCGAUAGUCUCACAAAGGCGAAGGGUAACGUUAUAUCCAAGGCUGAUGGACAAGCCUCAAAUCUACUAUUCAUUUCCCUCAGGGUAUUGACUUCGACCUGGGGAUGGCGAGACAAUUUUAUCAGCCCGCCAAGGCGAAGUGGCGUUUUACGAAGCCGCUUCUGGCCGAUAUUUUAAGGUUACCAUUAACUCGACCAUCAGGGAAAUUUUGAUCACUACAGAUUUGCCUGCAUAGUUGUCCCCCAACGCAUGGCGAUCAGUCAUAUGUUCGCUGGGGAUCUGCGGCCACUUCAAACGUUCACAUGUCUGUGACGAAAUUCAGGUGCUUGUACUCCCUCAGCCCCCAUACCCGAUUCGGAGGGUGGAUACUUUAAGGCGAGACCCGAGAAGAAACUUGACUCCGAGGAUCUCCGAGCAACGUGACGGGGUGGUGGAAAGACGAGUUCUUUUUGGCCUCGGGGACGAGUGGGAGUUCCCUUCGGGCACGGCCGCCAGCAAGAUCCACGAGUUCCCAGAUCUUGGGAACGCCAGUUCAGUAGUUCCUAUAUUUUUAUUUUUAUUUUUUUGUGUGCAAGUCAUUAUGAUCGGCCUGACACGCGAUUUUCAGGGAAGAGCUUUGUUGUGUAACAAGAUGCCGCUCUGUCCGAGGUUGACGCCAAGAGACGGAGGCGAUCUUCGGGAAGAUAGAAGCCUGGCGUACUUGAGGUUUCGAAGGUCUUGGGUUCGAGGACCUAUCAGAAAUAUUUUGCGGUUGGGUGAGCGGCGCUCUCGACCAGUGCGGAGACAAACGACCCUUGGGCGACGAGGGUGGAGUUCGUUACUCGCGGAGAUUCGUUGAUACCUGGGGGUCAUAAACGGGAUUCGGAGGGGCGGUUAGGAGAGCCCAUCCUGGUAUCCCUGACGAAACCCUCUAAGGUGGUCGGGGGGAGGGAAGGUAAAGAACCCGUUACAAAUCUUCUUCCUGGGAGUUACGGCUCCAAUUCGGAUUUAGGGUCGGAUUCAUUCGGAUUCGAGAUGCGCCCCGAGCUCAGAUCUGCUGCGUAUACUCUAGAAACUAAUAUUUAUUAGUUUCUUCCUUACCUGAAUAUCUCAUGUGCACUAUGUCGGCUCGAGCUGGUUGCCCCGCCCUUGGUGAAAAAAACAGGGGGGGCAAGGCCAAGGCUGAGAAGCUACGAAGGCAACGACAGCCACCUCCCACCACAGAGUCGUUAUACGGGAGAAACGUGAGGGGAAGGGUCCCCGUAUCGAAAUAGGCGAGUCGGAUCGUCGAAGGGAAAGGAAGCCGCACCGCUCGCCGCCUAAAAGAUUCAAGUCCAAAACCGAGGGUGCGAGCAAUGCCAAGGGCGUGCUGUGAGGCGAGGACCUCUCCCCUGGUGGCGACGUAGGAAUCCGAGUCUAUGUCGGAUGCUUCUGUGGCCUCGAGAGGUUGCUCACCGGGUGAUUCCGACUCCGACGGAGGAGGUUGACGAUUGUCCGAGAAUGAAUGGUCGCCAAAUCUUUCCACGCCUUGGGUCAGGUUAUUUGUGAAAAUCUUCUUGUUGUUUCUCGUUGGCCAAAUACUGAGAGUUAUAUUUGGCCAGGUGGGUCGUGUUCGCCUUUUCUCUUCCCUCCGCAGCCAGGAGCAUCUCCAUAACAUAGACUUCCAUAUGGCUCGCGCAGAUUUCCGCGAGCUGUGGAAUUGGUAAAAAGCUCAAAAGCGAGCCCUUAAAGCAGAGAAUAAGCUGGCGAGCUUAGCGAGGAAGGAUCAAAGCCUCGGCAACGAGGUGGACGAUCUGAAGGCCACUGUGCGGAACUGACAACAAAACAAAACUGGGAAAAGGCCAAGGAGCUAGCCCUUGGGGCCUUCAAGAAGGCCUCGGGGGAAUUAAAGGCAGCGGUUACCAGAUUCGGUUGCGACGUACUUCAGCGCGGGCUCGAGGUUUUGCAAGAGGCAGCUCAUCCAUCAAGUCCCCACCUUAGCGUUGAAGCCUUGACGUGGAGGAAAAGAUAUGGCCGGACCCCCCAUGGACCCCCCCCAACCCCCCCCCCACCCGUUUGGCCGAAGGAAGAGGAGGCGAUGAAAGAAGGAGAGAAAUCCUAUUGCAGGGUUGACUCCCAAUGUUAGAAUUUUUUUUUUUUUAGAUGUAAUGUUUGUCCAUGUGAAUGAAAAAUAUCUUUGUCCCGUCUUUUGUUGUGUUAAUGGCGACAAAGGUAAUGGGAAAUUACUAACUGAAAUAAUAUUGGCGAUUUCAAUAAAAGGCGAUCUUAUUUUGUUAUUGUACUGGCGAUUUCAUUUGUUUGGACUGGCGGACAUCAUUUUUCUUUAACUGGCGAUCAUCAACAUAGGCCAAUUUUAUAAGGCGACAUAGAUAUAGGCGAUCAUUAUAGGGGCGACAAAAAUGGACGACAGCAAAUCUCGUAUAAACGAGGAUCUAACAGGCGAAUCGUACAAAUUUAACUCAUUGAUAGUACUUUUUCAAAUGCUCGGCAUUCCAGGGAUGUGAAAGUACUUUCCCGUCUAGGUCUUCUAAACCAGUAAGUUCCUGGUCGGGAAACUUUGAUGACUUUGUUUAGGACCUUCCCACAUUGGGCCGAGUUUUCCCGCAUUGUUCUUUAGUCGACAAGGUUACUUUUCGCAAGGACCAGGUCGCCAGGAAGGAAUGAACGGUAGUCUGACCUUUGAUUGUAGUACUUGGCGAUUGGCAAUUGUAAGACCAUUGGCGUAGCUCGGCGUUCUCUCUUUUUUCUUCAAGGAGUCUAGGUUGAUUUGAGCUCGGCCUCAUUGAUUUCUUUUGGUCGAAAUUCGAACCCUGAAGCUCGCGCAUACCUAUUUCCCACCGGUAUGACUGAUUCGGUUCCAAAAACAUGGAAUAUGGGUUUCGCCUGUAGGAAUCCAGCUAGUAGAGUAGUAUGAUAAGCCCAAAGUAUGCUGGUAAGUUUUCCGGCCCACUCGCUUUUGAUCGGCCAACUCGCCUUUAAAACCUGAGGAUGGUACGAUUGGUUAUUCAACCUGCCCAGUAGCUUGAGGAUGGACGGGGCGAGAAGGACCUGAUAGGAGAUAGGGAGAUCCGAACAGAAUAGUUUGAACCUUCGUUGUAGAAACUGUCUUGCGUUUCCGAGAGAUGAAAUCUUUGGCGACUACGAAUCUGCAAACGAGUCUUCCAUACGAUAGUCCCGGGUAUUUUCUCAGUAAUCUUGGCGAGGGGCUGACGCUUCUAUCCAUUAGUGAAAUAAUCUAUGGCGACGAUAAAAACUUUCUUUGCAAAGGAGCUUGCGAUAGGGGAACCUAAGAAGUCUAUCCCCCACUGGCGAAUGGCAAGGGAUGGACAUGGUACAUUCGGUGUGAGGGAGACGGUAAUCACGGGGCAAACCUUGGCAUUUGUCGCAUCUCUUGAAUACGAUGUCGCAUCUCGUUCUAUGGUCGGCCACAAAUAUCCUUGGCGAAUAGUUUUCUUCGCCAGUGACCUUGCUCACGGAAGUGAUUUCCGAAUAUGCAUUCGUGUAUUUCUCGCAGAACGGAACUUCUGCACCUUCUGGUCGAGACCAUUUCAAGAGUGGUCAUGAAAAAGACCUCUCGUACAAACACGCCAUUAAAAACGCAGAACCUUGCGGGGAUCUUUAUUGGAGACGGCGAGCCGAGCUUGGUGCUGAUCUUCUGGCAGGACCCUCUUGGAGAGUAGGCGAUAAUCUCGUCCAUCCACAAUCGAUUUUCUUCCGUUUGGAGGACAUGUUGGCGAUUCCAUUGCUUGGCGGAGUUAAAAUUCCAGAGGUAGGCCACCUGUCAGAAAUAAACUCAAAAGUUGACUCCAGAUUAGCCCUAGUUGUUCUGCCUUUUUUAUUAUCUUUCUCGGGGAAUCUGAUGAAAUCUGAACUCCUUGAUCUUGGAUGGAUACAGCCUUCACCUCGCCUAAAUAGGCAUCAUUCUUGCGUGCCUUGGCGAGGUAGUCUCCUUGGACUUGGUUUACCACCAGUGCGAGUCAUGAAAACUCCAAGAUUGUUGCUCCCAACUCUGUAUUAUGUUGCUACCCUUAAUCCGGCGAAGGAGGGUCGUAUUAGGUUCAUUGUUAGGGGCCUUAACACCCAUCUAUGGCGUCUUCCAUUUGUUCGCCUGACGGAGCUCAGAUGGACGAGCCCUGCCCCGCAGCUGUGCUGGUUUUAGAAGAGCCAUCAACGAACAAUAUCCAGUGGGCCGAGGGUUUUUUUCUGAGGUUUGUUCUUAGGAAUUCUCGCUUCAGGGAGGGGCCGUCUUCAGGUUGUGUGGUGUCCUCAUGGGUGGAUUCGACAAUGAAAAUCAGCCAGGGCCUGGGUCCUUUUGCCCGUCUUGGCUUUGUAUUCAGGUGGGAAUUCACUUAACUCGACGGACCAUUUGGGAGUACGACCUGACGCAUUCUGGUCGCUGAAGAAUAUGCUUCAAUGGCUGAUCCGUCCCGCACUAUGAUGGGAUGGGCUUUGAAGUAAUGACAAAGUUUUCUGGCGGCGAAUUCUUAGGGCGUAGGCGAGUUUUCGAUCUUUGGUAUUUGGUCUCUGCCACCAAUAAGAUUUAAGAACGUUAGUAAAAUGGGAAUUUGGACCUAAUCUCUUCUCGGAUGAGCAGGGACUCAACCGCGGUGGGCGAGAUGACAAAAAUAUAAGUUAAAGGUCCAAGCCGGUGGCGGGGACUGGAGUAAAGGCGGGGGACCCGAGGUACUCGUUCAGCUGUUGGAAUGCAUUUUCAGAUUCCUCGUUUUCAAUGAAAGCAUGCUUUCCUUAGGAUUUUGAAGAAGGGGAGGCAUUGUCCGCAGACUUGGAGACAAAUCUAUUGAGGCGGCUUAACUCGCCCAGUCAGAUGUGUUACUUCUCGGAUACUUCUGGGGUUGAACUCAUCGUGAUAGGGCGUGGAUCGGAUCCGGGUGUACUUUAAAUUCCCGUUUAGUGACUGAAAUCCUAAAAAUUUUCGGGAGACACUCCAAAGAUGCAUUUGGAGAUUCAACAUCAUUCUGAUGGCGACGCAGGAGCUGAUGCUUAUUCAAGGUGGGCGAUGUGGCUCGGAUGAUCGGAGUCUUGUUAACCAACAUAUUCAUCUAUAUAUACUUCCAUGGUCUUCCAAUUUAUGCCUGAACAUCUUAGGACUCUAACUUUGGUAUGUCGCCCCCCAGCAUUCUUCAAUCCGAAUGGCAUUGGACUUUGUAGACAAGAUACCCCCGUUCUGUGAUUUUAUAUAAAAGAGGUCUUUUCAAUGUCAGGAGGGUACAUCUUGAUCUGGUGAUAUCACGAGAAGGCGGCAAUAAAACUUAGGAGCUCGUGCUUGGAGGGUCGGCGCGACUAUUAAGUCAAUUUUUGCAAGGGAAAACUGUCCUUUGGGCACGCCUUGUGAGUCGGUGAAAUCUAACAUACCCUCACUUUCCCCCCUUUGGGGGCGACACGGACAUUGGCGAGCCAAUCCGGAUAGGGGCCUCUCGGAAGACGUACUCUGAUGAGUUUAUUCACUUCGUCUUUCAAUGACUUUUAGGCGUCAGGGGACGAACUUCCUUGAUUUGGGAACUAGAGAAUGUUUCGGGUCGGUGCGUGAACAAUUUGUGCCCUGGCGAUUUAGGAUCUAGCAGGAAAGUUCUUUGCGACCAGGCAAAUACAUGGAGUUUUUUUCAAGAAGUUUAUCAAGGUGAAAACGAAGCUUCACUGGUAAGUUCCGCUACCAAUCAUGAUAUGGCGAUCAGGAUAAUAGGAUGUAUGAGAUGGGGACGAUCUCUUCAAGAGGCUUGGUGUUAAUGGUUCCCGGGGUUGCCAGGGGAGUUGUUCAUUUAUCUCUGAGUCACCUCUGUGUCGUCACCCAUGUUUUGUAAUGUGCUAUGGGGUGGGAGGAACUGAAGAGGUUUCGACCCUACUGGCGAGGAUUGAAGCAUUGCCUGGCCACUUUCUGAUGCCCUUUUAUCUCGCCCAAUCCAUGUUGGGGUGGGAAACUUUGCUUCAGGUGAUAGGUCGAGGGUGACGCCCGAUUCCUCCUAAAGUGGUCGCCCCAGUGAUGGCAUUAUAAGGCGCACGGGGCAGUGCUACCUAAAAAAAUCCGCUGCCACACGGUGGUCUGUGUGGUUCGCCUCCCAGGGUUAUUAGCAAGUGUGAUCAUCCCAAGGGGUGAGCGUAUUUCCUCCGAAUCCGAUCAGGGGGGGUAUGAAAAGGGUGGCAGCUUGUCCAACCCAAUUUUUCCAUGUUCUCGAAUGCCGAGAUGAACAAGAUAUCUGCCGCCGAACUCGGGUUGUUGAUUACAAUCUCUGACGUUGAAAUUGCAAUGACGGCCCGAAGACGACCAAGGCAUCGUCGUGGGGUAGUGUAACCUCUUAAAAUCAUCAUUGAUGAAGGUGAUUGGGUGUUUGGUCAGCAACAAAUGAUUGAGAGGGUUGUAUAAACUUCUUCCUCGGCCGGUCUUAUGGGCACUUCUGGCAUGCUUUCUGGAAUGAAGUCGAAUACUCCCCGAUUCCAAAAAACCUCCAUGGAUUGUUUGUAUAUCCCCGCAGUUAGUAUGUUAUCGCCGUAUCUUCUUUCUGGGGAGUUGGGUGGUGGGCGGAGCGGCUACAUACUUCCUCAGGUGGUAACCCCUAUUAAUGAGGCGGCAAUUGUUCUUUCAGUUUGAAAGCAGAGUUCAUUAGUAUGUGUCGUGGUCCCAAUGAAUUAACCUAUUUGUUCCGAUCCUCUUCUGGGGGUCAUUUGAUCUUUCGGCCAUGUGACGAACUCUCGUGCUUAAUUUAUGAGAGUACUUGGGCAACAGGCGGCGUUGAGAGUGGUGUAGAUUAGUGGUAGAGUAAACUCAGGUCAGCGAGGAGGGGUGCGAGGACGGCCAUUCAUGGGAUCGUUUGGGAUCUCGGUCAAGUCUCUUGUAACCUCGUUCUCUUCCCUAUAAUCAGCUCGCCUUUGUAUCAGGUUCCUUCCUCUUUUGAUCAUCCUUUCCUCUAGCCUUCGUUUGGCCUCGGCCAACUCCUCGGUUGGCGAUUAUAAUUGUUGGCUUUGCUCUGGGAGUGCAGAUAAAAAUUCAGGACAGUUUUGAAGGAAAGGGAGCGAACAGCGGGCCAGCAGUCGGAGGUCCUUCCAUCAUAGCCCAUGGAUUAUUUACUUUGUCGCUGGGAUCCUUCGACUUUAAAAUAGCCUGAUUGAAUCGUUUCACGAAUCUUUCGGCUCUCAGUCUCUUUUUGAUGAAUGGUGAUGAAUGAAAAGGUGAGAAGCAUCUUUUGGCGAUUUCUGCAGCUCAUGAAAUUUUGGCGACGAAGAGUCGACGAGGACGUUUUCGAAACCAUGACUGGCGGGGGGUCCCUUCAAAGGUGGCGGAGGAAGCUUGCACAUACCUCGUCCGAGCAACCUUGGAGCGACGUCAGAUCUUGACGAGUCCAGGUGGUCCAUCGGAUCUGUUUUUCCUCCUAAAUAUGAGCUGGGCGGGGGGGGGGAGCUUGAACUUGAGGAAAUACGGGCCCUCAAGAUCCUCUCUAGAACGCAGUUCUGUCUGUUUAAUUCGAUGUGCUCGACAGUUACUGGGGCGCUGCUCCAGUGUGAUGGAGUCGAGCCGGUGGGCGUCUCCCAAUCUCGAAUCUUAUGUGAGGUGGGACUUAUCUCGUGCUCCUGACGUGGUUCACCUCUGGGGGUGGCUUUCCUCCCCCUUCUCGAUCUGGUUGGAGUUUUACUAGAUUCGGAGGAUCUUUUCACGCAAGGAGGAGCUGGUGCUCUUGGCGGCUCCCCCGCCCACUUUGGGGGAAUCGGCACUGAUGUUUUGGAACGAUUUCCUGGAACGAUGCGAGUGGCGAGACGCUCGACAUCAGUGAUUGAGUGUUUGGCAGCUGGAAGUGGGGGGGUUGGCAGCAACGAGGAGUUGCAUUAGGCGGACCAUUAUCUUGUCUUUCCUCAUCUGCUCAGCCAUAUCGGUAUAUCACGGUGGAGACCUACUAGAUCUGGAGCUUGGGCUGGGUUGGCAUAGGAUGGGAUCUGUUCCCUGGGGGGCUACUGGCACUUGGUCUGGGUGGUAGAUUGCGGCUGCGCAGGUGCAAGAAGAAUGUGUUCCCACAGACGGCGCCCAACUGUUAUGUGUAAAAAAAAAAAAAAAAAAAAACUGGGGGCGAGCAACCAACAGUCACUAUUGCUCGGUUCCUCGGCACGGGCCGCGGGGGUACUUGAAGGCGACAUGCACAGGCGAACAAAAGUAAAAGCGACCGGGGCGAGGCCGCUCAAAACCCCUCCGGCGUGGAGAUUCCGACCAAGCGAGGUGGUGGGUAGGUAACAGUGGGUGAAAAAUAUUCUGAAGAGAAAUUGUGGUGUGGUCAGCGUCUUUAGAGGUACCUUUGUGUAAUGGGGGAGCGGCCUUUUAUAGACAGGAGUAAUGGCCGCGCUCAUGGAUCACGGCGAGAUCCUCGAAAGGAUAUUAUAUGGAAGGAUAUCGCGAGGAUAGAGGAGGAUUAUAAUUGGGAAGAUUGCCAUAUGGAGAGUAUCCCGCAAUUGGCGCUGCCGUGGGGGAGAAAAUCUCGCGAUGGGAGUAUAAAUGGGGAUCCGGUGUGAGAUUACCUAAGUGGAGAACGUAAUUACCUUCGCCCAAGGGCGAGGCAGGAGACAGUAAUUCGGCUCUGGGCGAGCUCAAUGGAGAUAGCUUGGCGAGGUUACGUGGCCGGGACGUGGGACUCUUUUGCCUCGGUCAAGAGGGUUCGGAGACGUUUAGUCUUGUAAAUGACGAUGGGAUUUCAUGGGGAUUGAUGUAUGGCGAUGUCCAACCUCCUUGAGGCGAGGUACUUUUGAAACAUUUAAUAGGUGUAUUUUUACCCCAAUCACCAUUAAUUUCACUACACAACUUCUCCUAUUUCAUCAAUGGCAGAAGAAGUUCAUUCUGUUGGACUUUUGGACACGCCAUUUGGAAUGAGAGCGAGAAAUAGCCCUUGGCCGAGAAAGGGAUAGAGUAUGAGUACCAAGGGAAGAGAAGCUGUCAGACAAGAAGCACCAUACUGCUGAAGAUGAACACGGUUAGAAGGCAAACCGGUGUGGAUACAUAACGGAAAGACCGUAUGCGAGUCCCUAUCAUUGUCCGCUUUACAUUGAUGAAGUCUGGAAGUGCAUAUCUCUAUUUUGCAUAGUGAUUCUACCGAGAGCCAUGCCAUGUUCUGGGCUGCAUUAUGUGGGGACAAGAAGUGAGGUGCAUAUGUUGCUAACAUUCCAUUGAUAAUAUUACAGACCACAUGUAUAUCAUUGAUUUGGCUCUUUACAUGAUACUAAUCACGUAUUUGAUUGGUGCCAAUAACACAUAAUUGUACAAGAAUGUGGUUACAAAAUGUCGCUGCUCUUUUUAUAUAUGCUUGCAGUUACAUAUGAAAACGAGAUUAUUUGUCACUAAAUAGUUUCAAAGAAUGUAUUGGUAAGGAGCACAAUCAAUGUCAAAGUUUCAGUUUCUUGAUUACUCACGCCAAUUGGAUUGGCGUGUAAGAAAAACAAGUAAUUUAAUAUUAUUUGUUAGUACUUUAAAAGCUAAUGUAUUAAACCAGAUUACCAAUUUAUUUCAUAGCACUGUCAUUAAAAUUUAAAGAAAUUUAAAGAUAAAUUACAACAUUCAGGACACCAAUCAUAGUUUUGGAUCGUCAUGAAUUCCUUAGCCAAUAGCAUGGUAUUAUUGGCAAAACACAAGUAUGCAUUGAGAACAAAGAUAUUAGGACAGAGAGAGAGAGAACAAGAUCCAGUAUAUACAUGGUAAUAUAUGUAUGGACCAUUUUAUGUUGCAGAAACUCAAGAUCCAUGGAGGUAUAAAAUGGUAAUAUAUGUAUCGAUAGCUUUAUGUUCGUGUCCCGAGAUUCGUGUAUUUUGAGGCUUAGACCGCAAGUUGCCAAUUCAAUUGGGACAGAGAAACACACGUUUUUUUUUUGACACAUAGAAUUGAUGCAAUUCAUAUAUGCCUAUAGAAACUUUGUGUUACCCACCUUUAAAUAUGGUAGAAGUUGCAGAUAUAUAGCCUUGCAGGAGGUAUGGUAAUCAGGUUGAAGAGCAUGAAGCAGAAUGAGGAGCUACUGGGGCUGGUAAGCAGUUGGAGGGGAGGAGCUGGAGGACACGGCUUACUUUGGGAAUGACACAUUUGGGGAUUGUGGAUGUGGCAAUGAUAACAUUCUAUACUGGUGUGGUUCUAUAGGUUGAGCCAUGUGAAACAUGGCAUAGAGGGCAGAGUGUCCUAAAUUGGUGGCUUGGGGUAAGAGGUGCUGCAUUGAAAAGGAAAGUGUGUACCAAGACUUUCCUGGACCAGCACAAGUUCUAUGACGUGGCAUGGACCUCAAAAAGAAGAUUUCGGGCCAAGUGACGCUCUAGAAGAUGUUUGCUUCGGAUAGAGAGGAUGGUGGGCUUGAGAUGCCAUGAAAUAAGAGAUAUUGUAUCUUCCUUUUUCUCUAUAUACAUUGUAUAAGUCGGACUUUGUUGAUUUUACUUAAUCCGAUCAAGCACAAUGAUGUUUAACUAAUUGAAGCAUCAUUGAAUAUGUAAGGCUCAGUUUGAGAAAGAUUAAUUGCUGAGUAAUCAGUAAUGCAGAUGUAUGGCAAGUUCCUUCAUUUACCUAUGGAUUUUUACCCAUGGGCAAUACCAUUUUCCCAUGGUUAAUAACUUUCCACUGACAAAGGGCAGUGUUCUUGAACCAAAAAUAAAUAUAUAUUGAUAUUUUUCCAUAUUCUUUGAGAAGGGGAAAUAUAUUAUACCACCUAUAGUUUCGUCUGAGAUGACUUUGCUCCUUGACCUUAUAAUUGUGACAACCAAACCCUCUCACAAUUAGGUCAAGAAAUAUAGCAUUUAUGCCCGCCUUUCAGUCAAUUACAAACCCGUGCUUUUUUUUUAUGAGGCCCCACAUGGCCAUUUUCUUACUUACUGAACAACAUAUAGGACCGAAGGGCACAUAGUGACAUUUAAA
rnacentral:lncRNA from 1 species